rnacentral:rRNA from 1 species
CCUACGGGAGGCAGCAGUGGGGAAUAUUGGACAAUGGGCGAAAGCCUGAUCCAGCCACGCCGCGUGAGUGAUGAAGGCCUUCGGGUUGUAAAGCUCUGUCGUGGGGGACGAAGGUAGCAAUACUUGACGGUACCCUACAAGAAAGCACCGGCUAACUCCGUGCCAGCAGCCGCGGUAAUACGGAGGGUGCAAGCGUUGCUCGGAAUCACUGGGCGUAAAGCGCACGCAGGCGGUCUGGUAAGUCGGAUGUGAAAGCCCUGGGCUCAACCCAGGAACAGCAUUCGAAACUGCCCGACUUGAGUAUGGGAGAGGGAGGUGGAAUUCCUGGUGUAGAGGUGAAAUUCGUUGAUAUCAGGAGGAACACCGGCGGCGAAAGCGGCCUCCUGGCCCAUUACUGACGCUCAUGUGCGAAAGCGUGGGGAGCAAACAGGAUUAGAUACCCCUGUAGUC